rnacentral:RNase_MRP_RNA from 2 species
CCCAUAGCCGAAGAAUCGUCACUGAUCGAAGCUUGCACAAUGGACUCACGUUCCAGGCGGGAACGCCAAUUAAGCUUUGGGUUGAAAGUCUCCCACCAGACCGUAUGCGGAAAACGCAAUGAGAUUUAAAAAUUUUUACAAAUCGUUUAAAUCCACUCAUUAGAGUAGAAACUCGGUUGAUGUACAGGUGCUGUGGCUUGCCAUGGUCCUGUUACUCUCCUGAGUUUUUAUAUCUUCUGUCCCCUGGAAUUCUGCGAAUUCCAGCGGUGUCUUCGGUAAGGAAAUCUACGCAAAUGGGUUUCAAACCAUAGUUAUGACGAUUGUGACAAACUCUCGUUUUGUCGUAACCCAAUGGAGCUUACUUUUCUUGGUUUAUGG